UGCAUCAGCAAAGCAGAUAAGCUCAGCCUCUCUUCAUCUGAAAAGGGAACAGAGGAGUAGCAGCAGGAGACAGUGCAAUACUUCAGGAUAUUGUGAAGAUUUCAGGCAACAAGACUACUUUCAGACACCUCUUGGAUUGCUUUUUUCUAGCUGUAUCCAACACUCCAGCUGAGUGUGAUUUGCCUCUUAAUCAGAGAUUUCAAAAAUCAGGCUCCAUCUGCUAAAGAAUUCAAAGAUCCUGGAUUUGAGAGGCUAUUUAUGAACAUCAAACUGUUGGUUUCUCCCUGGAGUAUCAUGCCGAUGUGCAGCUGCACAGCUGCAGCUCUUCAACACCAGGGGAAGUAUGAGCUAUCCACAGACACCAGUAAAAAUCCAGGCCCAAGCAGGCCACACAAGGACCUGCCUCUAUAUCCAGAGCAAAAACUCUGCAGUUGUCUCAAGGGAGCAAAGUUUCUCUCAUGCCUGAUUCAUAACCAGUGGAUAAUUUCUCAGAAAUUGGAUUUUAGCAUUUGCCAGCCACAAGUUGUCA